AGUGAACGCUGGCGGUAGGCCUAACACAUGCAAGUCGAACGGCAGCACAGUAAGAGCUUGCUCUUACGGGUGGCGAGUGGCGGACGGGUGAGGAAUACAUCGGAAUCUACUUUUUCGUGGGGGAUAACGUAGGGAAACUUACGCUAAUACCGCAUACGACCUACGGGUGAAAGCAGGGGAUCUUCGGACCUUGCGCGAUUGAAUGAGCCGAUGUGGGAUUAGCUAGUUGGCGGGGUAAAGGCCCACCAAGGCGACGAUCCGUAGCUGGUCUGAGAGGAUGAUCAGCCACACUGGAACUGAGACACGGUCCAGACUCCUACGGGAGGCAGCAGUGGGGAAUAUUGGACAAUGGGCGCAAGCCUGAUCCAGCCAUACCGCGUGGGUGAAGAAGGCCUUCGGGUUGUAAAGCCCUUUUGUUGGGAAAGAAAAGCAGCAGGUUAAUACCCCGCUGUUCUGACGGUACCCGAAGAAUAAGCACCGGCUAACUUCGUG
rnacentral:rRNA from 1 species